rnacentral:lncRNA from 1 species
UGCACUUAGGUUUGGAAUUAGGUUUUCCUCCAGUGUAACUGCACUCAGCCUUAGAUUCAUUGAACCCAAUGCCUGAUUUGUCUCCUGUUAUUUGACCAGUCUGGAAAAUCUUGUCUAAGGUGUCAGAUCCAUUAUUUAGCAUUCUUACAUACUUGGUCAUCUCAUCCAGUUUAGAAUUCAAGAGUACAGCUUCUGUCUUCAACUUGGAGAUCAUUUCCACAUGUCCUGCCUUCU